AUGCUAUUUGCGUGGGAUCCGGUGGUCUGGACGACGUUCCCUGGCCUUGAGUCUCUGGGAUGCCCACCCUGGACCACACUUAGUCCUGCCCUUGUUCUGCGCAGAUGGUUGCCAUGGAGGAUGAUUGGACAGGGCAAGCUCGGCUGGGGAAACGCUAGUCGGACAACCAGAGUGACCGUGAUUCUCUUUUUUCCCUGCUCACCUAGGGAAGGUGUGUCUCCUGGAACCCAAACUCAGACUGAAGACAAGAAAGAACAGUGCCAUGUAGCCAGUGAAGGAGACUUAUUUCUUCCUGUUUAAAGAAACAAGAAAUUUAGAAGACAACUUACUGCAUUUUUACUAUGAAGUGUUUUGUUUAAGAAAAUCAUGAACUGCAAUUGCAACAAAAGAGUAGCAGAAAAAUAAUCUUAUUUUAACUGGUAUUAACAGCCUGUAUCACUGAAUUAUCAAAUGGAGAAUGACUCACAGUAUCUUUGUGUCUUACAGGGAAUAUUACAUAAAUGUUUAUAUUUUUACUGUUGUGUGAUCUAACCUAUGUUUCUUCCAUUUCUUCUAUUGAGAUAUAAUUAACAUCUAG
rnacentral:lncRNA from 1 species